GGCUCAUAGAAAACCAUCUCCUUAAAGGGAGGAUCUUGGAUGAUAUCUAGCCUCUAUUUUCAGUGUACAAAAGAAGAGAAAAAGGGUCCAAGACUGUUUGAAGAUUGUCAGUGGCUGUGGAGCGAGAUGUUGAAAGUGCACACUUGAGAAUUACCUGGCAAUGACUUCAUGCUGCUGUUUCCUGGUCCUCUUGGCAGAAGGUAUAUAUCUAGGAGUGGAAUGACUGGGUCAUAUGGCAACUUCAUGCUUGGCUUUUUGUGGAACUGCCAGACUGUUUUCCAAAGUGGCUGCAGUCAUAGAAAUUUAGAACUAGACGGAACCAUGGAAAUUACUAGAGAUGUUCAAUUCAUCUCUAAUAACUGUUCCAGGGCAGCCAAGAGGAAAGCAAAGGGCUGCGUCAACUAACUGUCCCUGAACUGGUGCAUCAGCGGAAUGGGCCCAGCCUCUCCCACUUACCUCCAGAUCCCAAACACAGGGUUUAUGACCCUCGGGCUGUCCUGCCUGAGGCUCCCACAGGCAAGAGAAGAAAGGCAACUUGGACAUCUCAAACUCUUCAGUCUUGCUCAAGGAUGGCAGCUGUCACAGAAUGUCAUCCGCCAAUAGAACAUCAUAUGAACAUGUUCUUCACUUUAUAAGCCUUUAGCCUCUCACAAUUUAUUAUCAAUUCCAUGAGCCAGGUGUUGUUUCAGCUUUGAAAUUCAAACUUCUGAGGCUUUGGACUAUUUAUUAACACCCAAAAGUCAAAAUAUUUGUCUAUCUAUUGCGUGAGGAAAAUUUGAGUAGAUUCUGUGAGACAAUGACCAAUGCUCUUAAAUAAAAAACUCUAUGUGUUAUAGCCAUUCUUCACGCCUAAUGGUUGAUU